GAGUGUAUAGCAAAUGGAAAGCCAAGUCAAAUUGGUUAUAGCCAUUUGGCGGAAGCAUUCUAAAUCUUGCCAACAGUCAUCCUCACUAUCUGGGUCAAAAAUUUCACAAUGACUACAUCAAAUUGGUAUCAUAGCAAGUUCGGCUGAGAUUUCUUAAUCUCUCCCCCAGUCCUGUGGUCAUUUUUUCAUCCACCAAACACAUUCAGCUAGUUAGGUUGUGUUGAUUUCUUGGAACAUAGCAAAGUGAUUUUAUGGCCUAGAGUUAACGUGAUUUAGAAUUUGAAAGGAAACAACUUUCCUCAUGAAAUCCAGUCACUUUGCAACUAAAAAACAACAGUAACGCUUUUCAAGUGGGACAAAAUCACAUCAUUUAAAACAACCUUUCAACCA
rnacentral:misc_RNA from 1 species